rnacentral:lncRNA from 11 species
AGAGGAACUUCUAAAGCUGGGUUACUAUAAAGCAGCAGUGAAGCUAUGGGCCAGUUGUGGGAGCAACCAUGGGUGCACUGCAAUUCAAAUAGGAUAUUAACAAGUAGGAAUGUAUCUAGAG